rnacentral:rRNA from 1 species
AUUGAACGCUGGCGGCAUGCUUUACACAUGCAAGUCGAACGGCAGCACGGGUGCUUGCACCUGGUGGCGAGUGGCGAACGGGUGAGUAAUGCAUCGGAACGUAUCCAAUAAUGGGGGAUAACGCAUCGAAAGGUGUGCUAAUACCGCAUACGCCCUGAGGGGGCAAGGGGGGGACCGUAAGGGCUCACGGUAAUGGAGCGGCCUAUGCCUAAUUAGCUAGUUGGUGAGGUAAAGGUUCACCAAGGCGACGAUCAGUAGCUGGUCUGAGAGGAUGAUCAGCCACACUGGGACUGAGACACGGCCCAGACUCCUACGGGAGGCAGCAGUGGGGAAUUUUGGACAAUGGGGGCAACCCUGAUCCAGCCAUGCCGCGUGAGUGAAGAAGGCCUUCGGGUUGUAAAGCUCUUUCGCAAGGGAAGAAAACUUAGCCAUUAAUACUGGCUGAGGAUGACGGUACCUUGAUAAGAAGCACCGGCUAACUACAUGCCAGCCGCCGCAGUAA